UGUUUCAGCAGUUACUGGUGUUAGUGUACCUGAUUUUCUAGAUCCGUGCUCAUGUUUUUGACCCUGUCAUUUGCGUAGGUGUUUUUGUAUUGUCUACCAUUGUGUCCGCCUGCCUGCGUACCAAACCCUUUUGUGAAUGAUCAUUACGAGGAGAGCUAGCAUCAUGCCCAACAUUAUGUACAAGUUAGUGGUCAGUCCUCCAGCCCACAAAGGACCCAAGAUGGUGGCCAGGCCCCCAACUGAGCGUCUGACACCCUGGCUGAAUCCUUUUGUGACUUUAGAGAAGAGAGACACCUGAGACACGGCCACGAAGGGAAGCCCCAGCAGCUGCAGAAACACUCCGACGAUGAAGGCCGACAGCUCCCAUCCAUAUCCACCUGGCAGGGGUGGACAGAUAAUACCCUGGUUAGCACCUCGGGGGUUGCAGAGGAAGAUGAGGCACCAGAUACAAGCGGUGCAGCAGAUGACCAGGCCCACGGCCAGCACGG